rnacentral:rRNA from 1 species
UUCACCUACGGGGGGCAGCAGUGAGGAAUAUUGGUCAAUGGGCGGGAGCCUGAACCAGCCAAGUCGCGUGAAGGAAGAAGGUACUUAGUAUUGUAAACUUCUUUUGUCGGGGAACAAAGGCGGAGACGCGUCUCCGGAUGAGUGUACCCGAAGAAAAAGCAUCGGCUAACUCCGUGCCAGCAGCCGCGGUAAUACGGAGGAUGCGAGCGUUAUCCGGAUUUAUUGGGUUUAAAGGGUGCGCAGGCGGUCUGUUAAGUCAGCGGUCAAAGCCCGGGGCUCAACCCCGGCCCGCCGUUGAAACUGGC